rnacentral:tRNA from 1 species
GGCCCUGUAGUUCAAUGGAUAGAAUAUGGCUUUCCUAAAGCUUAGAUGUAGGUUCGAUUCCUGCCAGGGCUACUA